GGGGAAUAUUGCACAAUGGGCGAAAGCCUGAUGCAGCGACGCCGCGUGAGGGAAGAAGGUUUUCGGAUUGUAAACCUCUGUCCUUGGUGAAGAUAAUGACGGUAACCAAGGAGGAAGCCACGGCUAACUACGUGCCAGCAGCCGCGGUAAUACGUAGGUGGCAAGCGUUGUCCGGAAUUACUGGGUGUAAAGGGAGCGUAGGCGGGAAUGCAAGUUAAAUGUUAAAUCUAUGGGCUCAACCCAUAUCCGCGUUUAAAACUGCAGUUCUUGAGUGAAGUAGAGGUAGGCGGAAUUCCUAGUGUAGCGGUGAAAUGCGUAAAUAUUAGGAGGAACACCAGUGGCGAAGGCGGCCUACUGGGCUUUAACUGACGCUGAGGCUCGAAAGCGUGGGUAGCAAAC
rnacentral:rRNA from 1 species